rnacentral:rRNA from 1 species
AGCAGCCGCGGUAAUUCCAGCUCCAAUAGCGUAUAUUAAAGUUGUUGCAGUUAAAAAGCUCGUAGUUGAAUUUCGGGGUUAGUAAGUUGGUCAUGCCUCUGGUAUGCACUGGCUUUACUGAUUCCUCCUUCUUGAUGAACUGUAAUGUCAUUAAUUUGGUGUUGCAGGGAAUCAGGACUGUUACUUUGAAAAAAUUAGAGUGUUUAAAACAGGCAUAAGCUUGAAUACAUUAGCAUGGAAUAAUGAAAUAGGACGUUUGAUCCUAUUUUGUUGGUUUCUAGGAUUGACGUAAUGAUUAAUAGGGAUAGUUGGGGGCAUUAGUAUUCAAUUGUCAGAGGUGAAAUUCUUGGGUUUAUUGAAGACUAACUACUGCGAAAGCAUUUGCCAAGGAUGUUUUCAUUAAUCAAGAACGAAAGUUAGGGGAUCGAAGACGAUCAGAUACCGUCGUAGUCUUAACCAUAAACUAUGCCGACUAGGGAUCGGAUGAUGUUAUUUUUAAUGACUCAUUCGGCGCCUUACG